rnacentral:rRNA from 1 species
CUAGCAUAUCAAUAAGCGGAGGAAAAGAAACCAACAGGGAUUGCCCUAGUAACGGCGAGUGAAGCGGCAAUAGCUCAAAUUUGAAAUCUGGCCUUCGGGUCCGAGUUGUAAUUUGUAGAGGAUGCUUUUGGUGCGGUGCCUUCCGAGUUCCCUGGAACGGGACGCCUUAGAGGGUGAGAGCCCCGUACGGUUGGACACUAAGCCUCUGUAAAGCUCCUUCGACGAGUCGAGUAGUUUGGGAAUGCUGCUCUAAAUGGGAGGUAAAUUUCUUCUAAAGCUAAAUAUUGGCCAGAGACCGAUAGCGCACAAGUAGAGUGAUCGAAAGAUGAAAAGCACUUUGAAAAGAGGGUUAAAUAGCACGUGAAAUUGUUGAAAGGGAAGCGUUUGCGACCAGACCUUUUCCUGGCGGAUCAUCCGGUGUUCUCACCGGUGCACUUCGCCAGGUUUAGGCCAGCAUCGGUUUCCGCAGAGGGAUAAAAGCUCUGGGAACGUAGCUCCUUCGGGAGUGUUAUAGCCCUCUGCAUAAUACCUUUGUGGGGACCGAGGACCGCGCUUCGGCAAGGAUGCUGGCGUAAUGGUCGUCAACGACCCGUCUUGAAACACGGACCAAGGAGUCGAACAUUUGUGCGAGUGUUUGGGUGUUAAACCCUCACGCGUAAUGAAAGUGAACGGAGGUGAGAGCCUUUACGGGUGCAUCAUCGACCGAUCCUGAUGUCUUCGGAUGGAUUUGAGUAAGAGCAUAACUGUUCGGACCCGAAAGAUGGUGAACUAUGCGUGGAUAGGGUGAAGCCAGAGGAAACUCUGGUGGAGGCUCGCAGCGGUUCUGACGUGCAAAUCGAUCGUCAAAUCUGCGCAUGGGGGCGAAAGACUUAUCGAACCAUCUAGUAGCUGGUUACCGCCGA